UCUCUCCAGGGGUGUGAUGAGCUUAAUUCUAGGAGCAUGGGAAUCACAGCCUGCUCCUCGCUGUUGCGCUGAACCAUCCUUGCGAGGGUGAAGAGCUGUUGCUGGGGUUUUACUAUUCAACAGGAAGCAGACAGUAGGAAGCCUGUCCUUUUUUUCCUCUCUAGCCUUCCAGUCUGCCUCUAGCUGGCAAAAAAAGAAAUGCGACUCCACACCAUUCCCGGGCUUAACUGGUGAGCCCUGUCAGACAAAUUGCAGAGUUCUGCAGAGAGACCCUGGGAAUAAUCACAAGGCAGCUGUGCAGCUUCACUGAAAAUCCUUCUGGAAGAAAAUGUAGCAAAGUCCGGCCCUGGUCUCAAGACUGCAGAAGAGUGGAGCCCACCCCACAGGUCAGAAAGAGCACAAAGCAUCUCGGAUUCACAGCGUGUACUGUCACUAAGACGCAUGUUACUUCUAAUUAUAAAAAAUUAGCUUCUGUGUUAUGGACUCCCAGACUUUUCAAAUCUUCCAAAAAUUCCUCAAGUUUAACCAUUUCUGUUCACAAUGAACAUAGCCCUUAAAAACUUUUCAGAGGGGGAAAAAAGCGAUACAGAAGACACAUUAAUGUUCAAGUAAUUUAAAACAAAAAGGUAGAUUUAAUGCAAUAACAACAUUAAUCUGAGGAUAAAUAAAUCCACAACAGACUUUAAAGUUUGCAUUUUUUUUUUCCUUUCUUUGCAGAGAGAAUGGUUUUCUUAAAGCAUAUGGGACUGAAGAUGUCAAAACAAAAUGUAAUUUCUUAAUGUCCAGGUGAAACAGGCUUGGUCCUCCCUGCUGCCCUCCUACCGCUUGCCACUGGCCAAGGUGAUCAGUUUCUCUCAUCUAACUCAGGAUGGAUGUUAGUUUCAAGAGUAACUAGACGGUUUGUUUCCAGAAUCAUCUUCUUGUGAUCCCAUGCUCUGUAAAGAAGAAGUGAGACGAUGUAUUUACACUUGCCCUUGCCAGAGAUUUCCCACCGGCCCCAAACAAGCACACCCUGUUCUUCUGUGAGGACAAUCGGUCACCCUGUGUACAAACAGGCCAUAGUUCGCAUA